UACGUAGGGUGCGAGCGUUGUCCGGAAUUAUUGGGCGUAAAGGGCGCGUAGGCGGCACUGUUAGUCAGGCGUGAAAUUCCUGGGCUCAACCUGGGGACUGCGCUUGAUACGGCAGAGCUUGAGGAUGGAAGAGGGUCGCGGAAUUCCCAGUGUAGAGGUGAAAUUCGUAGAUAUUGGGAAGAACACCGGUGGCGAAGGCGGCGACCUGGUCCAUUACUGACGCUGAGGCGCGACAGCGUGGGGAGCAAACAGG
rnacentral:rRNA from 1 species